AGUGAACGCUGGCGGUGGGCCUAACACAUGCAAGUCGAACGGCAGCACAGUAAGAGCUUGCUCUUACGGGUGGCGAGUGGCGGACGGGUGAGGAAUACAUCGGAAUCUACUUUUUCGUGGGGGAUAACGUAGGGAAACUUACGCUAAUACCGCAUACGACCUACGGGUGAAAGCAGGGGAUCUUCGGACCUUGCGCGAUUGAAUGAGCCGAUGUCGGAUUAGCUAGUUGGCGGGGUAAAGGCCCACCAAGGCGACGAUCCGUAGCUGGUCUGAGAGGAUGAUCGGCCACACUGGAACUGAGCAACGGUCCAGACUCCUACGGGAGGCGGCAGUGGGGAAUAUUGGACAAUGGGCGCAAGCCUGAUCCAGCCAUACCGCGUGGGUGAAGAAGGCCUUCGGGUUGUAAAGCCCUUUUGUUGGGAAAGAAAAGCAGCAGGUUAAUACCCCGCUGUUCUGACGGUACCCAAAGAAUAAGCACCGGCUAACUUCGUG
rnacentral:rRNA from 1 species